rnacentral:rRNA from 1 species
CAGCAGCCGCGGUAAUACAGAGGGUGCGAGCGUUAAUCGGAUUUACUGGGCGUAAAGCGUGCGCAGGCGGUUUUGUAAGACAGAGGUGAAAUCCCCGGGCUCAACCUGGGAACUGCCUUUGUGACUGCAAGGCUAGAGUACGGCAGAGGGGGAUGGAAUUCCGCGUGUAGCAGUGAAAUGCGUAGAUAUGCGGAGGAACACCGAUGGCGAAGGCAAUCCCCUGGGCCUGUACUGACGCUCAUGCACGAAAGCGUGGGGAGCAAACAGGAUUAGAUACCCCUGUAGUCCCUGUCUCUUAUAC